rnacentral:rRNA from 1 species
UUCUUUAAGAAAAAUAAUUUAAAGUAAAACCUGCUCAAUGAAUAACUCAAAAUUAAAUAGCCGCAGUUAACCUGUGCUAAGGUAGCAUAAUAAUUUGCUUUCUAAAUAGAAGAUAGAAUGAAAGGUUAAACGAUAAAUAAUUGUUUCCAAAAUAAUAAUAAACUUGUUAUUUAAGUAAAAAUUCUUAAAUAUUAAGACUAGACGACAAGACCCUAAUAAACUUAAAUCAUUUAGUUGGGGUGACAUAAUAACUAAAACUUAUCAUACUACUACACACACCUUAUUAUUUAAUUCAAGAAUAGUUACUAUAGGGAUAACAGCGUAAUAUUUUUCAAGAGACCUAAUCAAAAAAAAAGAUUACGACCUCGAUGUUGAAUUAUUUCCCUAAUUUUAACGCAAAAGUUAAUUAAGGUAGUCUGUUCGACUAUUAAAUUUUU